rnacentral:rRNA from 1 species
UGGGGAAUUUUGGACAAUGGGGGAAACCCUGAUCCAGCCAUCCCGCGUGUGCGAUGAAGGCCUUCGGGUUGUAAAGCACUUUUGGCAGGAAAGAAACGUCGCGGGUUAAUACCCCGCGAAACUGACGGUACCUGCAGAAUAAGCACCGGCUAACUACGUGCCAGCAGCCGCGGUAAUACGUAGGGUGCAAGCGUUAAUCGGAAUUACUGGGCGUAAAGCGUGCGCAGGCGGUUCGGAAAGAAAGAUGUGAAAUCCCAGAGCUUAACUUUGGAACUGCAUUUUUUAACUACCGGGCUAGAGUGUGUCAGAGGGAGGUGGAAUUCCGCGUGUAGCAGUGAAAUGCGUAGAUAUGCGGAGGAACACCGAUGGCGAAGGCAGCCUCCUGGGAUAACACUGACGCUCAUGCACGAAAGCGUGGGGGAGCAAACAGGAUUAGAUACCCUGGUAGUCCACGCCCUAAAACGAUGUCAACUAGCUGUUGGGGCCUUCGGGCCUUGGUAGCGCAGCUAACGCGUGAAGUUGACCGCCUGGGGAGUACGGUCGCAAGAUUAAAACUCAAAUGAAUUGAC